UUUGAAUGCUGGCGGCAGGCUUAACACAUGCAAGUCGAGCGAGCGGCGGACGGGAGAGUAAUGUCUGGGAAACUGCCUGAUGGAGGGGGAUAACUACUGGAAACGGUAGCUAAUACCGCAAACCAUUAGCUGCGCCCUGAUGGGAUUAGCUAGUAGGUGGGGUAAUGGCUGACCUAGGCGACGAUCCAUAGCUGGUCUGAGAGGAUGACCAGCAACACUGGAACUGAGACACGGUCAAGACUCCUACGGGAGGCAGCAGUGGGGAAUAUUGCACAAUGGGCGCAAGCCUGAUACAGCCAUGCCGCGUGAGUGAAGAAGGCCUUCGGGUUGUAAAGCACUUUCAGCGAGGAGGCGUUACUCGCAGAAGAAGCACCGGCUAACUCCGUGCCAGCAGCCGCGGUAAUUC
rnacentral:rRNA from 1 species